CUUCCCAAGUAACCUGCUUAGAUGUCUAGAGUUGUAUUGGGCAGGACUGGGAGCUGUUGGAAAGAGGGUCGCUGCAGAUGUAGCUCUGGAGGGGUAUCACCCACAGUGGGCUGCACCUUCCCACAGUCAGUAAUAAGUCAAAAAAAUGCCCCACGCGCCAAUCUGAGGAGGUCAGUUCUCCCCUUGAGCGUCUCCUUCCUCGAUGACUCUAUUUUCUGUCAAGUUGACAAAUCAACAAACAGACAAACAAACUCACCAGCACCUUGGGAAGCCACCCAACAAGUGUGACCAGGGAGCUACAGCUUCAGGGCACGCCAGUGUGCAUGCAGGCCAGCCAUAAGAAGCCAACCUUAACACCUGCUCUUCCCUUUGAGAGAAAAGUCCCUCCCCAGAGAGAUAACACUAAAUUUGGAUCCUUUCUGAUGUCAUAGUCUAUCAGUUUAAUUUGACUUUAAUGGUAUGCGCAGACUUAGUGCAAAAGGUGUGCAGCUAGCCAGCCCACAGUGGUAAAAUGUCCCACUGUUUUCCACGGUGGGAAAAAAAAAUCAGCUAAGAAUAAGAGCAUUAGCCAGGCAGUGGUGGCCCACGCUUUUAAUCCCAGCACUUCGGAGGGCGAGGCAGACAAAUCUCUGUGAGUUCGAGGCUAGCCAGGUCUACAGAGCUACACAGAGAAACCCUGUCUCAAAAAGGAAUGAGAGGGUUAGUUUGCAGAGAGCAGCGGUGCUCCUGGGCAGUUUCAGAGUGGAUGGAAGCACAGAUUUCUCAGUAACCCCCCCCCACACACACACACACAUUGUUUCCUCAGUCUGCUCUCUUGUGAUUGGUGUUCACCCAGUCCUCCAAGCCAAUACAUCUCCAACAGAACUGCUAGGGACAUCAGAUGCUGUACCACACUGGAGUUUGUUUUGGAAGAGUGACAUUCUGAGCACAAAGGUUAAGUCCAUUAUCCUCAUGGUGGCACGCAGGCAGACCUGGUGCUGGAGAAGUUGCUGAGAGUCGAACAUCUUGACCUUCAAUCAACAGGAAGAAAACUGAGACAUACCAAAGGAGCAUCUCAAGGACAGAAGUACUGAGCCAUGAGGUUUCUUAUUGUGCAGUUUUACCAGGCCAGCACUGUCCAGAGGCAGAUCCUACUGAGAGGUGUUUGGGUCAGAAGAGCAGAGCCCUCCUGAAGAAAUUAAUUCCUGCCUCUCUUCAGAGAAUAGGCUAUGAUCACAUUUAACUCCCUUUUCCUUCUUGUGUGUGCUUUCCCUGGACUUUCAA
rnacentral:lncRNA from 1 species